GGAUGUAGAGGGCAUACGGGUCAUGAACUUCUUUUCCAGGAUAAGAAGCAAUAACGGUAACUGGGGAAUAAGCAUCGGCUAACUCUAUGCCAGCAGUCGUGGUAAUACAAAGGAUGCAAGCGUUAUCUAGAAUGAUUGGGCGUAAAGCGUCUGUAGGUGGCUUUUUAAGUCCACCGUCAAAUCCCAGGGCUCAACCCUAGAUAGGCAGUGGAAACUACCAAGCUAGAGUACGGUAGGGGCAGAGGGAAUUUCUGGUGGAGCGGUGAAAUGAGUAGAUAUCAUAAAGAACACCAACGAUGAAAGCACUCUGCUAGCCCAACACUGACACUUAGAGACGAAAGCUAGGGGAGCAAAUAGGAUUAGAUACCCCUGUAGGCCUAACCAUAAAAGAUGGAUACUAGGCGUUGUGCUUAUCGACUCGUGCAGUGCUGUAGCUAACGCGUUAAGUAUCCUGCU
rnacentral:rRNA from 1 species